UACGUAGGGUGCUAGCGUUGUUCGGAUUUACUGGGCGUAAAGCGCACGUAGGCGGACUUUUAAGUCAGGGGUGAAAGCCCUGGGCUCAACCUGGGAAUGGCAUUUGAUACUGGAUAGCUAGAGUAUGGUAGAGGUGAGUGGAAUUUCAGGUGUAGCGGUGAAAUGCGUAGAGAUCUGAAGGAACAUCAGUGGCGAAGGCGACUCACUGGGCCAUUACUGACACUGAGGUGCGAAAGCGUGGGUAGCAAACAGG
rnacentral:rRNA from 1 species